GGGUGGUAAUACCGGAUGCUCCGCUCCAUCGCAUGGUGGGGUGGGAAAUGCUUUUGCGGCAUGGGAUGGGGUCGCGUCCUAUCAGCUUGUUGGCGGGGUGAUGGCCCACCAAGGCGUUGACGGGUAGCCGGCCUGAGAGGGUGACCGGCCACAUUGGGACUGAGAUACGGCCCAGACUCCUACGGGAGGCAGCAGUGGGGAAUAUUGCACAAUGGGCGCAAGCCUGAUGCAGCGACGCCGCGUGCGGGAUGGAGGCCUUCGGGUUGUAAACCGCUUUUGUUCAAGGGCAAGGCACGGUUUCGGCCGUGUUGAGUGGAUUGUUCGAAUAAGCACCGGCUAACUACGUGCCAGCAGCCGCGGUAAUACGUAGGGUGCGAGCGUUAUCCGGAUUUAUUGGGCGUAAAGGGCUCGUAGGCGGUUCGUCGCGUCCGGUGUGAAAGUCCAUCGCCUAACGGUGGAUCUGCGCCGGGUACGGGCGGGCUGGAGUGCGGUAGGGGAGACUGGAAUUCCCGGUGUAACGGUGGAAUGUGUAGAUAUCGGAAAAGAACACCA
rnacentral:rRNA from 1 species